rfam:Desulfosporosinus sp. BRH_c37 BRHa_1003954, whole genome shotgun sequence.
UUCUCACCGCAACCGCUCGAAUCAGGUUAUAACGGGUUUUUAUGAUCUAAUAAAAACCGACCUGCAAUGGCGAGUCUAGGGUAUGGG